rnacentral:misc_RNA from 1 species
GAUGAAGAACGUAGCGAAAUGCGAUAAGUAGUGUGAAUUGCAGAAUUCAGUGAAUCAUCGAAUCUUUGAACGCACAUUGCGCCCCUCGGUAUUCCGUGGGGCAUGCCUGUUCGAGCGUCAUUUAACCCCUCAAGCCUAGCUUGGUAUUGGGUGCUUGUCCCGCCUCUCGCGCGGCGACUCACCUCAAAGUCAUUGGCAGCCCGCAUCUCGCCGGCCGUGAGCGCAGCACAGACGCGCUCUUGGCAACGACGGAUCGGCUCUCCAAAAGCUUAUUUCAACCCCUGACCUCGGAUCAGGUAGGGAUACCCGCUGAACUUAAGCAUAUCAAUAAGCGGAGGA